GGAGAGGUGCGCGAGCGGUCGAAACGGCCAUACUCGAAAUAUGGUGUGCCCGAAAGGGUACCGUGGGUUCGAAUCCCACCCUCUCCG
rnacentral:tRNA from 1 species